UACGGGGGGGGCAAGCGUUGUUCGGAAUUACUGGGCGUAAAGGGCUCGUAGGUGGCCAACUAAGUCAGACGUGAAAUCCCUCGGCUUAACCGGGGAACUGCGUCUGAUACUGGAUGGCUUGAGUUCGGGAGAGGGAUGCGGAAUUCCAGGUGUAGCGGUGAAAUGCGUAGAUAUCUGGAGGAACACCGGUGGCGAAGGCGGCAUCCUGGACCGACACUGACGCUGAGGAGCGAAAGUGUGGGGAGCGAACAGG
rnacentral:rRNA from 1 species